GAAAUGAAGCUCAGUUGCUAGAGCACUGCAGCGCUAUUGCAGAGGCCAUGGGUUCAAAUCCCGUUGAAGUCC
rnacentral:tRNA from 1 species